rnacentral:rRNA from 1 species
GACGAACGCUGGCGGCGUGCCUAAUACAUGCAAGUAGAACGCUGAAGGAGGAGCUUGCUCUUCUGGAUGAGUUGCGAACGGGUGAGUAACGCGUAGGUAACCUGCCUGGUAGCGGGGGAUAACUAUUGGAAACGAUAGCUAAUACCGCAUAACAGUAGAAGUUGCAUGACAUUUACUUAAAAGGUGCAAUUGCAUCACUACCAGAUGGACCUGCGUUGUAUUAGCUAGUUGGUGGGGUAACGGCUCACCAAGGCGACGAUACAUAGCCGACCUGAGAGGGUGAUCGGCCACACUGGGACUGAGACACGGCCCAGACUCCUACGGGAGGCAGCAGUAGGGAAUCUUCGGCAAUGGACGGAAGUCUGACCGAGCAACGCCGCGUGAGUGAAGAAGGUUUUCGGAUCGUAAAGCUCGGUUGUAAGAGAAGAACGAGUGUGAGAGUGGAAAGUUCACACUGUGACGGUAUCUUACCAGAAAGGGACGGCUAACUACGUG